rnacentral:lncRNA from 1 species
GAGAUCGCGGGCGGCCGGGCUGCGCGCUGUUCACCUAGGAAGAAGGGUGAAGGUAGCUAUGAGCAAAGAGAGGGGUGAUGGGUUAGGGUUAGAGAAGAAGAGAAGAGAAACCUAGGGUUUCUCUCUUUCUUACUUGUAAAAAUUGCAGAACCAAAAAUCCAAAAAUUUUACCCAACUCCCUCACAGCAAGAGUAAUACGCGAAACGACACCCUCACAUCCGAAAUCGUGCAAUUCGAAACAUAAAAUAUCGAAAGAUUUUUCGGAGUCCGAAUUUCCUAAUCUAACCCAUUCUCGAUUAUC